UGGGAAAUACAGCAGCUGGACCUUUAGCUAGCAACUGUGAGACAAACUGCACACAAACAGUUUGUGUGUUUGCUGAUGUUUGUUAAGCUGCUAAAAAUGGUGCAUUUGAAAUUACCUGCCACUUUAAAAAGUCCCUCUUUUUCUAGGUUCGCAGUGACGUGAAAUAAUAACUCCCCUCAAAUGUUAAAUCAAAAGUAACGAGCCUGGUAAGAAGUAGAAAGAAAAGAAAUUUGUUUUAGAAAUGUAGGGAGUAAACGGAAAAUGUUUUAAUUUAACACCUAUUCAAGUAAAGUAUUAAAAUGUAUUAAUGCAGCUGCAGUGAGUACAUAAAACAUGCCUACAGAUGUCUUACUGCAGUCUUCACACAACAGGAGGGGUUUUAAUUAUGGAAAUAUUUGUUAGUUUUGGUGGUAUAUUGAAUUUGCUUUGCCACAGACAGUUAAUAAAUCUAAUUUACUCCUGCCCUCAUGGGCCCUGAUGUGAACCUUGGAUCUAUACUUUUGGUAAAUGGUAAAUGGACUGGUUCUUAAAUAGCACUUUUCUACUCUGAGCACUCAAAGCGCUUUAUACAACUAAUUCAUUCACCGAAUCAAUGUGAUAGAACAGCAGCGUUUUAAUGGAAGCAAGUAAAGGAAUAUACAAACCCAUCAGGAUAUGUGACACUUUCGUUUUUACUGCAUUUCAACAGUUUGAAGAAUUUGAUGCAGUUUUAAAAGUUGACAAACUGAGAAUCAAUUUAAGUAACAAUGAGUAAAUUCUUAUUUCUUUCACAGGUGUUGUUCAACACACCAAUAUAUAUAACAUGGCUGUGGAGAUCUGCUGGUAUCUUCCAGGUUACAGGGCUCAGGUAAGACCCAGAUCCAUCCAAACCAAAACUGAGAUAAAAUAUCAGGUGAUUUCUGAGGACCUGAGAGUGGUGCUGAUUAAAUGUCUCCUUUUAUUUUUAGAUUUCAAUGAUGAUGGAGUUGCUCCGACUUCAGAAGGAAAACCAAACCAGGGACAUCGAGUUUUAAGCCCGGAUGCUGCUGGGAUUUCCAGAAGCCGUACCUCCUAAAUUUCAGUGAUCACAUCUGCCGUACAAUUAUUAACAGUCCAGCUACAGUGUUUCAAUAUUUCUGUGAUUCUUUAAAUAGGUUUAAAAGAUCAUUCUUAUAACUUUAUUCUACAGAACACCUAAGCUCCUCAGCAAUGUCAGCAAGUACAUUGAACUCCUUAAAGAGAGGCAGCAAGACGCACAAACCUCCAAACUGCUCACUGCACCAGACGUGGUGAUAGAGGUGGUUCCCCAUGUCGUGCAUGGAUUCUGGGAGCUUACUCCUCACCCCCUACUGAACAUGGCCUCCCAGAGAUUGAGCAUCCUCCAAAGGCCACUUUGGAUCAAGUAGCCAAAUCUAUCCCAACAAUGGAAAACCAGGCCAUCUUCUCACACUCCAUCAGAGAUGGCAUGGUGCACACAAUCCUGUCUGAAGUCAGAAUAAAAUAUCCAGAACAGAUUCUGCUGAACAAAAUUGCAAACUUUGCACCAAGGCUACUGAGAACUGAUGUAGCAAAAACAACAUACGCCAGAUCUUCCAGCCCCCUUGUGAAAGUCCAGUAGUGCCUGAUGUUCUUCCAACUAAAGAACCUCAUGCUGAAGGUCUGCUGAAGUCAGAUGUUCUUCCCACUUCUGAACCUCCGUUUGAAAGUUCACAAAUGGCUGAUGUUCUUCUUACUGAAGAACCUGCUUCCAAAAUUCUGGCAAAGUCUGAUGAUCUUCCUAGUGAGGAACUCCCUUCUGUAAGUCUAUCCAUGUCUGAGCCAGUUGUCUCUUUUACUAAUAAGUCAGAGAAGUCUGACUUCAUUCAAAUCAGGGAGAAAAAGAAGAAAAAGAAAGGGCUUCUUCCAAAAAUUCAGAGCUCUGUGCUGUUGUUGCUUCAGACCCCAAGAAACUGACUGACUUUGAGAAUCCCAUCUGUUUGUUCUAACUCUCCAAAAUCAAAUAAAAUCCCUAAUCAAUAUUUUUGCAUGAGUCUGCAUCUAUGGUUAAAGAAUAUUUUUCCUUCAGAUGUUUAUAAGACUCUCUUAGGGUUCUCAAAAUACCUCCACAAGUCCAACAAUUGUUGACAUAUUAGUGUUAUUAUUUUUAAGAGAAUCUGAACUUAUUCUUACUCUUAACAUAUCAACAACAGUAACUGAAAACUGGAAAUUAAAAAAAGUUCCCAACAAUUAUUAAUGUUGCUUCGCAUCUUUGUUUUGUAAGGGUCCAGAUACACAUUGGCAUAUAGCAGGACCUCAGUGUUAAAAAAUAGAUAAAUAAUAAAUAAAAACUGUGGUGCGUACCACUGGCGGUACUUGGGCUCUCUCUGGUGGUACCCGGGAAAUCUCCUUUUUUUUUUUUUUAAGAUUAAAUAAUAUACCAUUGUGGAGGUAUACAAAAGACGACACGAGAGUUCCCGGGGCUCUUCUGGGAGCCGGAGUCACCCAGAAAACGUCUCCCCGAGCAGCCUUUCCUCAUCGCCACUUCAGAGCGCUGGCGGGCUCAUUUCCCUGGUCCUUAAAACUGCAAAGGCGGUACGCCGCUGUCACGCUGAUAGUAAAAACCAAUACAGUCAUUGGUAAAAACACAGCCCUUUUCCGCCGUGCCGCGAUCCCAGCCACCAUCGAUGAGUCGGAGGCCCCCGAAAGAAUCGGUGGGGGUGCGGGAGAUGCCGUCGGUUAAUCGGGAACUAUAGCCUGGCUGCCGAAGCUUCUGGUAGACAGGAGAAUGCGAUCCGCUUCUUCUGCGAGUGAGCGGUAAGCCUUCGCGGCCAGCAGCGGGGAGUUGGCGAGGCCAGCUGGCACCGGCACCUGUCGGAGGAAGACGUGAGUGAAGAGGAAUCUGCCGUCAUCCGUUCCCAGCAAGGAUAGCGUGCUCUCCAUGAGCUCGAGCGCGGCACCAUCACCCAGGCCCAAGACAGAGAGGAGUUUCUCGGCCCGCUCUGCGUCAGAGUGUUGUUCAACACACCAAUAUAUAUAACACAGCUGUGGAGAUCUGCUGGUAUCUACCAGGUUACAGGGCUCAGAUUUCAAUGAUGAUGGAGUUGCUCCAACUUCAGAAGGAAAACCAAACCAGGGACAUCGAGUUUUAAGCCCGGAUGCUGCUGGGAUUUCCAGAAGCCAUACCUCCUAAAUUUCAGUGAUCACAUCUGCCGUACAAUCAUUAACAGUCCAGCUACAGUGUUUCAAUAUUUCUGUGAUUCUUUAAAUAGGUUUAAAAGAUCAUUCUUAUAACUUUAUUCUACAGAACACCUAAGCUCCUCAGCAAUGUCAGCAAGUACAUUGAACUCCUUAAAGAGAGGCAGCAGGACGCACAAACCUCCAAACUGCUCACUGCACCAGACGUGGUGAUAGAGGUGGUUCCCCAUGUCGUGCAUGGAUUCAGGGAGCUUACUCCUCACCCCCUACUAAACAUGGCCUCCCAGAGAUUGAGCAUCCUCCAAAGGCCACUUUGGAUCAAGUAGCCAAAUCUCUCCCAACAAUGGAAAACCAGGCCAUCUUCUCACACUCCAUCAGAGAUGGCAUGGUGCACACAAUCCUGUCUGAAGUCAGAGGAAAAUAUCCAAAACAGAUUCUGCUGAACAAAAUUGCAAACUUUGCACCAGGGCUACUCAGAACAAUUGCUGAUGUAGCAAAAACAACAUACGCCAGAUCUUCCAGCCCCCUUGUGAAAGUCCAGUAGUGCCUGAUGUUCUUCCAACUAAAGAACCUCAUCCUGAAGGUCUGCUGAAGUCAGAUGUUCUUCCUACUUCUGAACCUCCGUUUGAAAGUUCACGAAUGGCUGAUAUUUUUUCCUCUGAAGAACCUCCUUCUAAAAGUUCUUUAAUGGCUGAUGUUCUUCCCACUGAAGAACCUCCGUUUGAAAGCUCACGAAUGGAUGAUCUCUCUUCCAUUCAAGAACCUGCUUGUGAAAAUAUGCCAAAGUCAGAUGUUCUUCCUACUAAAGAGCCUCCGUUUGAAAGUUCACAAAUGGCUGAUGUUCUUCUUACUGAAGAACCUGCUUCCAAAAUUCUGGCAAAGUCUGAUGAUCUUCCUAGUGAGGAACUCCCUUCUGUAAGUCUAUCCAUGUCUGAGCCAGUUGUCUCUACUACUAAUAAGUCAGAGAAGUCUGACAACAUUCAAAUCAGGGAGAAAAAGAAGAAAAAGAAAGGGCUUCUUCCAAAAAUUCAGAGCUCUGUGCUGUUGUUGCUUCAGACCCCAAGAAAUUGACUGACUUUGAGAAUCCCAUCUGUUUGUUCUAACUCUCCAAAAUCAAAUAAAAUCCCUAAUCAAUA